GCUUACGGCCAUAUCCUCUCUUGGCUCCGCCUGAUCUCGUCUGAUCUCAGAAGCUAAAGCAGAGUAGGGCCUGGUUAGUACUUGGAUGGAAAGACCGCCCUGGGAAUCCCAGGUGCCGUAAGCU
ensembl:rRNA 5S_rRNA 5S ribosomal RNA